GUAAACAAUCCAAUGAAGUACUGACAAUGCGCGGUGACUUUGACUGGCAGGCCAACUCAAAGGGAAGGAAGUACUUAUCAGCUUCAAUGAAGUUUGCUUUUGGUGGAGCAACAGUGCCUUCUCUUUGUUUUUCCAGUUCUGUCUUUAUUUCAUCCAGCGCCACCUGGCAGGCUCUCCGCAGCUGCCCGUGCGGGGGCCGCUUCGCCUCCUUCUCCGCCAAGAUCUUCUCCAGGGCCCGCGACACGAACAUGCUCUUGGUGCGGGCGUCCUGCUCGCGGGCCGGGGGCUGCAUGGCGGGGCCGGGAGCGCUCAAAGCCCAUCACCCGGAAGAACCGCGCCUCCUUCAGCAGCCGCCACAGCGCCGCUGCCACGGCGCCG
rnacentral:lncRNA from 1 species